GACCUCUGCCAUCCUUCCUUUUCAGCUUGCAUGCACUGGCACAAUCACUUUGAUCCCUGUUUGUGUAGCUCAUACUCAGCUCAUCUGCUUACAGUGCCAGUGUACUCAAUAUGAUCUUUGCCAGAAGAUAUCCAAGGGGUCACCCUUGACUUGCUGACUGAGGGUUAAGCCACUGAAUCCUGCAGCAUUGCAACAACUUGGAGCUCUGCUGAUAGUCCUGCUCAUGCUGCACUACUGCCUCAUGGCUGGUGGGUUGGCCGACUGAUUUAUAGAGUUGCAGACACUGUAAAUAAACCUCAUUGCACCGACGUGCUAUUGUGGCUGAGCCAUCGUUUCUUGUGCAGAGAGCCAACACUCCUCAUCACACACCCUUUACAAAACUUAUGUUUGCAUGUUGGGUGAAAAUGGAGAGAAGGCAGAACAGAGAGACACUAAAUAUUAAGGAAUGAAUGGGGGAAGAAAAAAAAAACAUUCCAGUGGAUAGUGAAGCCAG
ensembl:lncRNA